rnacentral:rRNA from 1 species
GAACGCUGGCGGCGGCCUAACAAUGCAAGUCGAACGGUAACAGGAUGUGCUUGCACAUCGCUGACGAGUGGCGGACGGGUGAGUAAUGCUUGGGAACUUGCCUUUGCGAGGGGGAUAACAGUUGGAAACGACUGCUAAUACCGCAUAAUGUCUUCGGACCAAACGGGGCUCCGGCUCCGGCGCAAAGAGAGGCCCAAGUGAGAUUAGCUAGUUGGUAAGGUAACGGCUUACCAAGGCGACGAUCUCUAGCUGUUCUGAGAGGAAGAUCAGCCACACUGGGACUGAGACACGGCCCAGACUCCUACGGGAGGCAGCAGUGGGGAAUAUUGCACAAUGGGGGAAACCCUGAUGCAGCCAUGCCGCGUGUGUGAAGAAGGCCUUCGGGUUGUAAAGCACUUUCAGUUGUGAGGAAAAGUUAGUAGUUAAUACCUGCUAGCCGUGACGUUAACAACAGAAGAAGCACCGGCUAACUCCGUGCCAGCAGCCGCGGUAAUACGGAGGGUGCGAGCGUUAAUCGGAAUUACUGGGCGUAAAGCGCACGC